rnacentral:misc_RNA from 1 species
GAAUUGCGAUAUGUAAUGUGAAUUGCAGAAUUCAGUGAAUCAUCGAAUCUUUGAACGCACAUGGCACCCUCUGGUAUUCCGGAGGGUAUGCCUGUUUGAGUGUCAUUAAUCUCUCAACACUAAUCAGACUUUGUUCUGUGAUGUGCUUGGAUCGUGAAGGCUGCUGGCAAAUUUUGUCUGCUCCUUUUAAAUGUAUUAGUGGGACUGUUGUUUAUCAGCUCCAGUUUGAUAAAUAUCUUAUCUGUGCUGUUGCUGAGAAACUGAAUUCUGCUUAGUAUUGUCUUAGGACUGUCCAGUCAUGGGCAUUUUUGAUCUUUGACCUCAAAUCAGGUAGGACUACCCGCUGAACUUAA